rfam:Triticum urartu cultivar G1812 contig445738, whole genome shotgun sequence.
AUUGUACUCCGUCCGUCUAGAAAUACUCUGCCGAGGAAUGGAUGUAUCUAGAUGUAUUUUAGUUCUAGAUACAUCUAUUUGUAUCCAUUUCUACUACAAGUAUUUCCGGAUGGAAGGAGUACUUA